rnacentral:rRNA from 1 species
UGGGGAAUAUUGCACAAUGGGCGCAAGCCUGAUGCAGCCAUGCCGCGUGUAUGAAGAAGGCCUUCGGGUUGUAAAGUACUUUCAGUCGGGAGGAAGGUGGUAAGGUUAAUAACCUUAUCAAUUGACGUUACCGACAGAAGAAGCACCGGCUAACUCCGUGCCAGCAGCCGCGGUAAUACGGAGGGUGCAAGCGUUAAUCGGAAUUACUGGGCGUAAAGCGCACGCAGGCGGUUGAUUGAGUCAGAUGUGAAAUCCCCGGGCUUAACCCGGGAACUGAAUCUGAUAAUGGCAAGCUUGAGUCGCGUAGAGGGGGGUAGAAUGCCAGGUGUAGCGGUGAAAUGCGUAGAGAUCUGGAGGAAUACCGGUGGCGAAGGCGGCCCCCUGGACAAAGACUGACGCUCAGGUGCGAAAGCGUGGGGAGCAAACAGG